UACGUAGGGUGCAAGCGUUGUCCGGAAUUAUUGGGCGUAAAGAGCUCGUAGGCGGUUUGUCGCGUCGAAUGUGAAAACCCGGGGCUCAACCCCCGGGCCUGCAUUCGAUACGGGCAGACUAGAGUUCGGUAGGGGAGUCUGGAAUUCCUGGUGUAGCGGUGAAAUGCGCAGAUAUCAGGAGGAACACCGGUGGCGAAGGCGGGUCUCUGGGCCGAUACUGACGCUGAGGAGCGAAAGCGUGGGGAGCGAACAGG
rnacentral:rRNA from 1 species